AUUAUUUUGGUUAUUAUUAAGUUAGUUGGAAAUUCGAAAAUACUCUUGCUACAUUGCUUAAAUCUCACGGAUGUGGGAGACUAAGAGAAGGUACUCAUGUUAGGAAUGUGAUUUCGAGAUUCCAAUAUGAGAGAAGUUCCUAAACAGACGGUGAUGGCUAUGAAGUCUUACCAAACCAGGCUCAGUUGUUGGUUAAGAUACAUAUUUGCAGAUCCCUUCAUUCCAUACACUUCCAUCCUUGGCGGCAUUCUGCUUGCAAAGCGGCCUAGAUCUUACCCGAUUAAUCAGCGGUUCUUACUGCAAGACUUACACUGGUCUACCAAAAUUCAACGAGUAGAGUGGACAAUCGUGGCAUCUCUACAGU